rnacentral:rRNA from 1 species
GUCGAGCGAACCGAUGGGAGCUUGCUCCCUGAGGUUAGCGGCGGACGGGUGAGUAACACGUGGGUAACCUGCCUGUAAGACUGGGAUAACUUCGGGAAACCGGAGCUAAUACCGGAUAGUUUCUUUUCUCGCAUGAGAAGAGAUGGAAAGAUGGUUUCGGCUAUCACUUACAGAUGGACCCGCGGCGCAUUAGCUAGUUGGUGAGGUAACGGCUCACCAAGGCGACGAUGCGUAGCCGACCUGAGAGGGUGAUCGGCCACACUGGGACUGGGACACGGCCCAGACUCCUACGGGAGGCAGCAGUAGGGAAUCUUCCGCAAUGGACGAAAGUCUGACGGAGCAACGCCGCGUGAGCGAAGAAGGCCUUCGGGUCGUAAAGCUCUGUUGUUAGGGAAGAACAAGUACGAGAGUAACUGCUCGUACCUUGACGGUACCUAACCAGAAAGCCACGGCUAACUACGUGCCAGCAGCCGCGGUAAUACGUAGGUGGCAAGCGUUGUCCGGAAUUAUUGGGCGUAAAGCGCGCGCAGGCGGUCCUUUAAGUCUGAUGUGAAAGCCCACGGCUCAACCGUGGAGGGUCAUUGGAAACUGGGGGACUUGAGUGCAGAAGAGGAGAGUGGAAUUCCACGUGUA